CCCUCAAUCUCUUUGAAACUCGACCUUCUCUCUCAAUCUCUCUCGAGCCUACCCCUCUCUGCUGUACACCCCGUCUUUGAGGUUGAUUUCUACUUUGAGGCCAUUUCUGUGUUUGUUUACAGAAAGUUGGAGGAAAUUCUGUGAAAGCCCUAUCUUUUAAAGUCCGAGCAUGGAGAGUAUGAUUGAUUUUCUUUGUGUUAUUGCAGAGGUUUUCCUUUUUAUUGUUUUGUCUAUGGUGUUGUUGGUUUUUUAUAGCUAUAUGUAUUCGAAAGGGUACUGUAGAACCAUAUUUAUUUUCAUGAGUAUGUGUUGGUUGAAAAAAUCUGUGUAAUUUAGUUUUCCUGCAGUUCAUCCUCUUUUCCCUUUUUGUAUAUUAAGGUAAUGGGUAUUGUUGCUUCCAAAUAAAUUAGAAUGGGAACGUCUCUUUCUCUA